UUGACCUCAAAUCAGGUAGGACUACCCGCUGAACUUAAGCAUAUCAAUAAGCGGAGGAAAAGAAACUAACAAGGAUUCCCCUAGUAACUGCGAGUGAAGCGGGAAAAGCUCAAAUUUGAAAUCUGGCGGUUCCUUGGACCGUCCGAGUUGUAAUCUAGAGAAGUGUUACCUGUGCUGGACCGUGUACAAGUCUCCUGGAAUGGAGCAUCACAGAGGGUGAGAAUCCCGUCUUUGACACGGACUGCCUGUGCGAUAUGGUGCGCUCUCGAAGAGUCGAGUUGUUUGGGAAUGCAGCUCAAAAUGGGUGGUAAAUGCCAUCUAAAGCUAAAUAUUGGCGAGAGACCGAUAGCGAACAAGUACCGUGAGGGAAAGAUGAAAAGAACUUUGGAAAGAGAGUUAAACAGUACGUGAAAUUGCUGAAAGGGAAACGCUUGAAGUCAGUCGCGUCGGCUAGAAAUCAGUCUUGCUUCUGCUUGAUGUACUUUCUGGUCUGACGGGUCAGCAUCAAUUUUGACCGCCGGAUAAAGUCAUCGGGGGUUUAAUCAUCCCGUGUUGCAUACGGUGGUUGGGAUUGAGGAACUCAGCACGCCGCGAGGCCGGGUCCUUUGGACCACGUUCGUGCUCAGGAUGCUGGCAUAAUGGCUUUAAUCGACCCGU
rnacentral:rRNA from 1 species